GCUCGCCCACCGGACCUUGAUAUGUCUAGUAUUCUAGGUUUCGCCCUUUUAUUGGCAUGCGAACCAGUUUAUUAGAUAUAUCGACGUCCGGUUUGGGCGGCGAUUC
rnacentral:pre_miRNA from 1 species